UGGUUCUGGCAUCGAUGAAGAACGCAGCGAAAUGCGAUAAGUAAUGUGAAUUGCAGAAUUCAGUGAAUCAUCGAAUCUUUGAACGCACAUUGCGCCCUUUGGCAUUCCGAAGGGCAUGCCCGUUCGAGCGUCAUUAAAACCCCUCAAGCCUCGCUUGGUGUUGGGCGUCGGGCGUCGGCCCGCGCCUCUAUUCUAUCGGCUGGACGGUUGGUCAUCUCAGCGUUGUGCAAACGAACCGCUCGGAGGAUCGCCGGACGCGCCGUUAAACCCCCAUCAAAGGUUGACCUCGGAUCGGGUAGGGAUACCCGCUGA
rnacentral:misc_RNA from 1 species